AUUGAACGCUGGCGGCAGGCCUAACACAUGCAAGUCGAGCGGUAGAGAGAAGCUUGCUUCUCUUGAGAGCGGCGGACGGGUGAGUAAUGCCUAGGAAUCUGCCUGGUAGUGGGGGAUAACGUCCGGAAACGGACGCUAAUACCGCAUACGUCCUACGGGAGAAAGUGGGGGCUCUUCGGACCUCACGCUAUCAGAUGAGCCUAGGUCGGAUUAGCUAGUUGGUGGGGUAAAGGCUCACCAAGGCGACGAUCCGUAACUGGUCUGAGAGGAUGAUCAGUCACACUGGAACUGAGACACGGUCCAGACUCCUACGGGAGGCAGCAGUGGGGAAUAUUGGACAAUGGGCGAAAGCCUGAUCCAGCCAUGCCGCGUGUGUGAAGAAGGUCUUCGGAUUGUAAAGCACUUUAAGUUGGGAGGAAGGGUUGUUACCUAAUACGUGGCGAUUUUGACGUUACCGACAGAAUAAGCACCGGCUAACUCUGUGCCAGCCGCCGCUGUAAUAC
rnacentral:rRNA from 1 species